AUUGAACGCUGGCGGCAUGCCUUACACAUGCAAGUCGAACGGCAGCGCGGGGCAACCUGGCGGCGAGUGGCGAACGGGUGAGUAAUAUAUCGGAACGUACCCUGGAGUGGGGGAUAACGUAGCGAAAGUUACGCUAAUACCGCAUACGAUCUAAGGAUGAAAGUGGGGGAUCGCAAGACCUCAUGCUCCUGGAGCGGCCGAUAUCUGAUUAGCUAGNGGGUGGGGUAAAGGCCUACCAAGGCAUCGAUCAGUAGCUGGUCUGAGAGGACGACCAGCCACACUGGGACUGAGACACGGCCCAGACUCCUACGGGAGGCAGCAGUGGGGAAUUUUGGACAAUGGGCGCAAGCCUGAUCCAGCAACGCCGCGUGAAGGAU
rnacentral:rRNA from 1 species